GUCUAUGACCAUACCACCCUGAACGUAUCCGAUCUCAUCUGAUCACGGAAGCUAAGCAAGGUCGGGCCUGGUUAGUACUUGGAGGGGAGAAGUUUUUUUUUUUAAAACAGAAGUUCUAUAUGUAGUCAUAUCCU
rnacentral:rRNA from 1 species